UGAUCGUUAAAAGAAAUAAAAAAACAGAAAAGCGAAAGAGGAAUUGGUGUGAUUUUUGUGUGCAAUUUAUUUGCAAAUAAUUUAGGCAAUUUUUAUAAUUAGUUAUUAUGGUGUACAGAAGUUUCGUUUUAAAAAAAAUAACGAAUUCUUUUCGACGAAAAAAAAAAUUAAAAAAAAAGUGAAUUCGUAUAUUAAUUAAAUAAUAAGUUUACACAAUUGUUUUACCAAAAAAACUGUAGUUUUUAGAUUGAUUUAUUACAAUUUUCAAUUGUAUUUACAAACGUAAGGAUCGUUCUAGACGUAUUGUGUAUUUUGUCACUGAUUCCUAUGACAUGUUAGGUAAUUUUUGUGAGUAAUUGUACAUAUAGUUCUCUUUUAAUUAAUUAAUUAAUUAUUAUUUUAAAUCGAAUGCAUUUCAGAAACUCCGGCUGAAGUUGGAGUUUUGGAAAUAUGUAUCUUUUGUUCACAUAAAAUUAGUGCUAUUAUUAAUUUUAUAUUGAACAUGAAAAUUUAAAUAGCUAAAAUGUGACGACCGCUGGGAAUAACAGAAAAAUUAUUUUCGUUAGUUUUUGUUUUCUCGCUGCCUUGCACUAAUUUUAUGUGAAUUGAAUUUUGAGACUGUCAAUAACUGAUUUUAGUAUAAAUAUUGGUAAUAAAUACUGCAAAGUAUUUGUACAUAAAUGUAUGUUGUAGCCAAUUUUACUCGUCAUCAGUUUUAGGCAUUAGUUGAGAAAGUUUUUCAGCUCAAUUACAAAAAAAAUAAUAAAUCGAAGAAGCUGCAAGCUCAAAACUGCAUUAAAAAUUUCAGGCAGCACGGAGAUACCACCGUGAUAUUAUUUUUAAUUAUCAUUAAUUAAUUAUACAUAAAUAAAUUAGGAUUAUGUUCGUCGGUGGUCUUCGUGUUGCCCGUCAGUCAGCCUUUUUUGUUGCAACCAUGUUUUUUUGUUUGUUUUUUUGUUUUUGUAACUACGUUUCCAUUUUUCCGAGAUCUCAGUCAGUUGUACAUAAAUUUUACUAAUAAUUGUAAUCUUCCUUUUUAAGUAUGGUCAGUCUAUGUUAAUGUCGACUUAGCAUUCACUAAUGUAAAAAAUAAACAAUGCUAAAUAGCAACAUCUGAGUAUUAAUAUGUAAUUGAAAAUGUUUGGCAUAAAGUUGUUUAUAUCUCUGCCUAAUUACGAAUAAGCUUUGUGUUUUAAAUCUUGAACACAUUGUACAUGAUUUAACAUACAAAAUCAUCUAUUUUAAUUCCGAAAUGAAUACAAGCAGAUUAUUGCUAAACAUAUUUCUUAGUAUUUAAUUUUAUGUUUAAUUUAAAAUCAAUCAUUACCCUAUGUAAAGAAUAAAUCAAUUGAACAAUACUUAUUUCGCUUCCACCAGUUAGUAAAACUGAAAUAUAAAAAUGCGUAUGUUUUUCAAUUGACGGUACAUGAAAUCGUUCAGUAGUAUUAUUUAUGCGUACACGUCUAUCUUUAAAUUCAUUUUUUCUGAUAUUACAAAAACAAUGGAUUAACCUAAACUUAAACACAAAAUGAGCCUUACAAAUGCAUAUUUAACACCUGAAGUUGUUUUUUAUGUUGAACCGUCUGUCUUUCUUUAUACAAACAUUUUAAUUAUCUUUCUGAAAAUUCAAAACGCUUAAUUAAAAUGCAUGCCUUCCAUCAAUUUUCAUUUUAUUCAAUUUGAAAAACCCCCGCAGAAAUAAUUAUGAUUCUUGUCUACAGAGGGCGCAACGCGAAUGCUUCCAUGUUCUUUUCAUCUUAAUUUAAUCUAUGAUAUCUGAUGACAUUUAUCCAACCUUUAUCUACGAUUUUUAUAAUUUGCAAAUGGCUGUGUGAUGAAUUCGUGUUCGUAAUAAGAAAUUUAAAAUUUUAUUGUAAAAAUUUCUGCUUAAAGUCAUGUAAUUGUCGAAAUCUUAGUAACACUUGUUGUGGAUUACAAUAUGUAUAUUGGUUUUUUUUGAAAGUAAUUGUUUUCGUAGUGUUUCUUGUAGUAUGUUUGCACAAUACUAAAUACCUACAGGGUUUUUUUCUUCGUAAGGUCCUUGAUUUCAUUAGAUUUGGUUUGAUUUGUGAAGAAAUGGAACUUCUAGUAUAUCUAGCAAUAAGUGCUAUUUUGAAACGCCUUCCUAUCAAUUACAACGUCUAUGCCAUGUUAUAGUAGAUACUGGAGUAAACAGUGAACUCUAAAGGUGAAAAUUGGGCUCUAACUGAUAUGGACUUGAGCAAAUUGGAUGGAAACCUAGAAUUGUCUGAGUUUGAUUAACUGUUUCUGUAAGCAGAAUAAUUGGUCUGAUUUUCAACUGUUUCUGCAAUGUUUCUCUGGUGAUUGGGAUCGGAGCACACUCAAAUUUCUUAUACAUAUUCUGGUUCAAAUCAUUUUUCAUGGAGUUCUUGCAGGAUAGUAUAGGAAUUUUAAACACACUCUGGACACCAUGUGUAGUUGGGUAGUGAUAGUAGAACUCAUCCACAUUUCAUCCCAAUAUGGAACAGUGUCCUUUAUCCACUGGAAUUAGAAACAACAAGGGUCUUCCGGCUCGUCUGUCGUUUCAUCUUGUCGAUCUUGUCAUUCAAUUGUGAUCGGUCCUCGAGAAGACGAAUGUGUUACCAUUUUUGCUGUCCAUAAAUGGAAACGUCGCCUGAAAACUUGCUUUGAGAUGACAUCCUUGGAUUCGAUGGACAAACACUACUUAGAGAUUUGUGACGAUGAGACAUAUUUUUAUUUCCUAGAAUGCUUCUAAUGAGCUGGUCAUAAAAUUCACAGGGUGCUAACAAUGAGGUUUCCAUUAAAUCAUAAUAAACGUACAGGGAGAGACGGUAAAUCAAAUGGCCACGAAACGCGGGGAAGCAGAAUCCCAAUCACGCUUCUUUCUCUUGAUCUUGGAAAGGGAUGCAUUUAAACGUAUUAAAUGGACAAGGAGACAGAAAAUAAGAAGAAUUCAAAACCUGGAGAAGUGGAGUCCCUUUAAUUUUCCCUCCCCUUGGGCGUGAAGGUGCAAUUUCCAGAAAGUAAAUGCAAUCCGAAUUACACUGAUGCAUAAAAGGAAGAUUGCGGUGCGAUGUGUGGCUUAUUUCACUUAUUUCCUUUCAUCAGCAUCUACUAUUAAGAGGCACUUCUCUUUUGUCAGCACUUAGGAAUAAAAUUCGAGCACCGUAUAGUAAACCUCAAGAUCGUCUGACAAAUGGGAGAGAAAUAAAGUU